rnacentral:rRNA from 1 species
GAUGAACGCUGACAGCAUGCUUAACACAUGCAAGUCGAUGGGGAAGUGGUGCUUGCCCCAUGGCAACCAUGGCGGACGGGUGAGUAACGCGUAAGGGACUUACCUGCAGGACUGGGAUAACAGGGGGAAACUCCUGACAAGACCGGAUAAUGUCAUGGAGCUGCAUGGCUUUAUGAUGAAAGGAGACGCCUGCGGAGAGCCUUGCGUCCUAUUAGCUAGUUGGUGAGGUAAUGGCUCACCAAGGCGAAGAUAGGUAGCCGGCCUGAGAGGGUGGACGGCCACAAGGGGACUGAGAUACGGCACUUACUCCUACGGGAGGCAGCAGUGGGGAAUAGUGGACAAUGGGGGCAACCCUGAUCCAGCAAUUCUGUGUGCACGAAGAAGGUUUUCGGAGUGUAAAGUGCUUUCAGCAGGGAAGAAGUAAGUGACGGUACCUGCAGAAGAAGCGACGGCUAAAUACGUG